CACGUAGGCACCAAGCGUUGUCCGGAUUUAUUGGGCGUAAAGAGCUCGUAGGCGGUUCAGUAAGUCGGGCGUGAAAACUCUGGGCUUAACCCAGAGCCGCCACCCGAUACUGCUGUGACUUGAGUUCGGUAGGGGAGCAGGGAAUUCCUAGUGUAGCGGUGAAAUGCGCAGAUAUUAGGAGGAACACCGGUGGCGAAGGCGCUGCUCUGGGCCGAUACUGACGCUGAGGAGCGAAAGCGUGGGGAGCAAACAGG
rnacentral:rRNA from 1 species